rnacentral:lncRNA from 1 species
AAAUUUAACCAGGUGCUCCGCAGGGCGCAGCUUUAUACGACCGCAGAGGUAGAACCCUGAACAGUUGGGGCAAGUAUGGACAAAACAUUCAAGCGUGAUACAGCUCUGAAUUUGGAUUGUGAUCAAAUUUUUGACAUUACAUGGUGUUUUUUUACACAAAACAAAUGUCAAGAUUUUACAAAUUUUACAAUUAAAGAUUUCUUCUUCAAACUUUUUAAAUCUAAAAUUAAAUAGUUGACACAGCAUAGGUUUCUGACACAGAAUGAAUGUGGUCUAAUGAAC